rnacentral:rRNA from 1 species
AUGAACGCUGGCGGCGUGCCUAGUACAUGCAAGUCGAGCGAACGGACGAGAAGCUUGCUUCUCUGAUGUUAGCGGCGGACGGGUGAGUAACACGUGGAUAACCUACCUAUAAGACUGGGAUAACUUCGGGAAACCGGAGCUAAUACCGGAUAAUAUUUUGAACCGCAUGGUUCAAAAGUGAAAGACGGUCUUGCUGUCACUUAUAGAUGGAUCCGCGCUGCAUUAGCUAGUUGGUAAGGUAACGGCUUACCAAGGCAACGAUGCAUAUCCGACCUGAGAGGGUGAUCGGCCACACUGGAACUGAGACACGGUCCAGACUCCUACGGGAGGCAGCAGUAGGGAAUCUUCCGCAAUGGGCGAAAGCCUGACGGAGCAACGCCGCGUGAGUGAUGAAGGUCUUCGGAUCGUAAAACUCUGUUAUUAGGGAAGAACAUAUGUGUAAGUAACUGUGCACAUCUUGACGGUACCUAAUCAGAAAGCCACGGCUAACUACGUG